CUUAAUCUAGCUAGAAUCUAUUUCUGUUGAUUACAACUUAACUAACUCAUUUACGGAUAGGACUUUUUUUUUUCUUUUUUUCUUUUUUCUUUUCUUUUUUUUUUUUGAGAUGGAGUCUCACUCUGUCACCCAGGCUGGAGUGCAGUGGUGUGAUCUUGGCUCACUGCAACCUCUGCCUCCCAGGUUCAAGCAAUUCUCCUGCCUCAGCCUCCCAAGUAGCUGGGACUACAGGCACACGCCACCACACCCAACUAAUUUUUGUAUUUUUAGUAGAGAUGGGGUUUCACCAUGUUGGCCAGGAUUGUCUCCAUCUCUUGACCUUGUGAUCCACCCACCUCAGCCUCCCAAAGUGCUGGGAUUACAGGCAUGAGCCACCACACCCAGCGAGACGGGGUUUCAUUAUGUUGGCCAGGCUGGUCUCCAACUCCUGACCUAAAGUGAUCUGCCCGCCUUGGCCUCCCAAAGUGCUGGGAUUACAGACAUGAGCCACCACGCUUGGCCGGGAUAGUAUAUUUUUAUAGCACUUCCCCUACUGAUUGCUGCCUUCUCUGUGGCUACAAGGGACCCACAGAAUUACAGGGAAGUUACAGGGAAGCAGGUUUCAUCUCAAUAUUGGGAGAGAUUUCAAACAAUCACACCUGCCUGAGAAGGAGUGGGCUGUCACUAGGAAUUUUUAUUCCCAGUCCGUCAGGAAUUUUGUAGAAGGGCUUCAUGUGCUGGUACCAAUAGGACAGGAAGAUUUUAAUCAGCUUUACUAUCUAUGUUUUUUUAUGGAAACUGUGUGUAUGUAUACAUACAUUUUCCAAAAAGAAAAAUUAAAUGAUUAUAGAGAUUAUGUUUUUCAGACUACUCACGUAUCUGCUUUUCUUACUCCCCACCUCUGCUGAUAAUUCCUAGUUCAUUGGUUUUUCCCCCACACUGGAAUUACCUGGGGAGCUUAAAAAACCCUGAUGCCUGGGUCCCACCCUCAGAGAUGAUUGAACCAGCCUGGCCAGCAUGGCAAAACCCUGUCUCUACUAUGAUAUGAAUGCAGCCUGGGCACUGGGAAAUUUAAAAACUCCCCAGAUAAUUCUGUGCAGCCAAGGUUGAGACCUCCUAGUCUAGAGCUUUGCUAUACACAGGGUGGUCCACAAGCCAGGAGCAUCAGCAUCACUUGGCAGCGCCUUAGAGAUUCAGACCCCAGACCCACUGAAUCUGACCCUGCAUUUUCACUAGACCCCAGGUGAUCAGCUGCACUAGACUCAACCUCUAAACCAAGACCUCCCACCCUCACAGUCUAUGAUCCUUUAGUGACCCUCAGCUGAGUCCUGUGCUGAACUGUGUUUGUUCUCCUUGAGCACAUGCCCGCUAACCAGGGACAGACUGGAUGAGCAAGCAACCUGCUGGCUAUGGAGAAGAGCCAGGCUGGGUGCUCAACCAUGUCUAUUAGAGAAACUGAAUGAGGA
rnacentral:lncRNA from 10 species